rnacentral:lncRNA from 1 species
AUACGUAGCCUUCCUCCCCCUCUGCUUUCAAGGUACAAACCCUAACCCUUACAUACGUUGCCUUCCUUCCCCUCUGCUUCGUCAAGGUACCAACCCUAACCCUUAUACGUAGCCUUCCUCCCCCUCGCUUCGUCAAUGCUACAAACCCUAACCCUUACUACGUAGCCUUCCUCUCUGCCUUAAGGUACAAACCCUAACCUUACUAUAGCCUUCCUCCCCCUCUGCUUCGUCAAGUACAAACCCUAACCCUACUACGUAGCCUUUCCUCCCCUCUGCUUCGUCAAGGUACAAACCCUAACCUUCCUACAUAGCCUUCCUCUCUGCUUCAAGGUACAAACCCUAACCCUUACUACGUAGCCUUCCUCCCCCUCUGCUUCGUCAAGGUACUAACCCUUACUACGUAGCCUUCCUUCCCCUCUGCUUCGUCAAGGUACAAACCCUAACCCUUACUACGUAGCCUUCCUCCCUGCUUUCAAGGUACGUCACACUCCUCCUCUCCCUCGCUCCUCCACUCUUUCCCUCCCUCCUCCUUCUUCUCCCCUCGGGUACUCAUUUCCCCUCCCCGUUAUCCAGGAACUGUCAAACCUCCUGGUACUCAUAUUCCCUCCCUGUUAUCCAAGGAACUGUCAACCCUGCUGGUACUCAUCUCCCCUCCCUGUUUCCAAGGAAACGUCAACCCUGCUGGUACUCAUCUCCCCUCCCCGUUAUCCAAGGAACUGUCAACCCUGCUGGUACUUCAUCUCCACUCCCGUUAUCCAAGGAAAUGUCAACCCUGCUUGGUACUCAUCUCCCCUCCCCUUAGUCUUUGUGUGUUCACAGUUUCCUCCUUCAGUCUCCAGGUAUCCUAGGUGUGUCUCCUGCGUUGUUGUUAAGGCCCCUGAACCUACAACGUGGUCUUCUCUCUCCCCUCAGAGUACCCAGUACUAUGACAUGCGCUGGUCCUUUGAGCACCUGAUCAUGGUGUGGAUCAAUGCGUUUGUGAUGCUGAUGAGCCAGCUGUUACCUCCCAGCUCUGUGACUGCCUGCACCGCUCUGCAGCCCACCUGGGGCGCUGGCAGAAGCUGGAGAAGGAUUCUCAGAAGCGCCACAGCUAGCUGGUCCCCACACCACACACACAACUUCUACAGCAGGCACAGCACGCCGUAG